rnacentral:rRNA from 1 species
AAGACUUCAGAUAUGAUCCAGAGUACCACGGGACACGUGAAACCCUGUGGGAAGCAGGAGGGACCACCCUCCAAGGCUAAAUACUACCUAGUGACCGAUAGCGUAUAGUACCGUGAGGGAAAGGUGAAAAGAACCCCGGGAGGGGAGUGAAAUAGAACCUGAAACCCUGCACUUACAAGCUGUGGAAGCACAUUUCUUGUGUGACCGCGUACUUUUUGUAGAACGGGCCAACGAGUUACGUUAAGUAGCAAGGUUAAGCACUUAAGGUGUGGAGCCGUAGCGAAAGCGAGUUUUAACUGAGCGUUCAGUUACUUGACGUAGACCCGAAACCGGGCGACCUACCCAUGAGCAGGAUGAAGCGAAAGUAAAAUUUCGUGGAGGUCCGAACCCACGAGCGUUGAAAAGCUCGGGGAUGACUUGUGGGUAGCGGUGAAAUUCCAAUCGAGCCCGGAGAUAGCUGGUUCUCCCCGAAAUAGCUUUAGGGCUAGCCUCAAGGUGAGAGAUACGGAGGUAGAGCACUGAAUGUCCUAGGGGGUAUUGCACCUACCGAAGACUAUCAAACUCCGAAUGCCGUCAUCUUAUACUUGGGAGUCAGACUGUGGGUGAUAAGAUUCAUAGUCGAAAGGGCAACAGCCCAGAUCGUCAGCUAAGGUCCCUAAAUGUAAGUUAAGUGGUAAAGGAUGUGGGAUUGCACAGACAACCAGGAUGUUGGCUUAGAAGCAGCCACUCAUUCAAAGAGUGCGUAAUAGCUCACUGGUCGAGUGAUCCUGCGCCGAAGAUUUCCGGGGCUAAAACUUACUACCGAAGCUACGGCAUCAGUAAUGAUGGGUAGGGGAGCUUCCCAUACGGGUUGAAGCAUGACCGUAAGGACAUGUGGACAGUAUGGGAGUGAGAAUGUUGGCAUGAGUAGCGAGAUGUGGGUGAGAAUCCCACAGGCCGUAAACCCAAGGUUUCCAGGGGAAGGUUCGUCCGCCCUGGGUUAGUCGGGACCUAAGCUGAGGCCGAAAGGCGUAGGUGAUGGACAACAGGUUGAUAUUCCUGUAC